rnacentral:rRNA from 1 species
CAUGAAGCCGGAAUCGCUAGUAAUCGCAGAUCAGAAUGCUGCGGUGAAUACGUUCCCGGGUCUUGUACACACCGCCCGUCACACCAUGGGAGUCGAUAACGCCCGAAGUCAGUGACCCAACCGAGAGGAGGGAGCUGCCGAAGGCGGGAUGGAUAACUGGGGUGAAGUCGUAACAAGGUAUC